rnacentral:tRNA from 2 species
GGACAGGUACCGAAGCGGUCAACCGGGCUGGACUGUAAAUCCAGUGGCUUUCGCCUUCGGAGGUUCGAAUCCUCCCCUGUCCACCA